GGCUAGGUUACGUGCUGUGUCGCGAUAGUUGACUGCUAGGACCAUUGAAAACCGCUAGCCGCGUGCCACGACGGGGGCGGAGUCCUACUGGAGCGGAAUCCUCAUUGGUCAAUGUGCAUCCUGGAGGCGGGACUGCGCAUGCCUCGAUAGUCUCCGCGGAGACCAGGCGGGAAUCCUCGCAGGCAGGGCAGCGCGACUCUAGUGUUCUUUCUGGUAGAGAAAAUCAAGAGAUGAGUUUUAACGUCUGGACUGUCAAAGAGAUGCUCAGUGUUCCUUCAGGCUCUGGGACCACUAAGUCAUCUGCCUGGAAUAACAAUCAGACUGAUUAUUCUGCUCUCAGUGAUUCCCAAUUCCUCUUUGGAUCUCAGUUUUGCCCAGAAAAUUCAGAGACCUUGUCAGCACCCUUGGACUUGGGUGCUCACUCGAGACAUGCAAAACAACUACAGCAGAACCCUCUGGAUAGUGAACCUAGUAUUUUCACAAAGUACCAGACAAAACCCCACCUCUUUGGAGGAGAGACAAAGGAUGAAGGGUUAUUUUCUCUUCCUUUGCCAGUUGGAAAAUCGAAAUGCCUCUUGAAGCAGUUUGAGGAGAAAAACCAAAGAGCAAAAGACAAAUAUGACAGUGACACUGUAUACAACUUCGUUUCCCAGGUCAGAGAAAGCAUUCAGAGGUUACAGACAUCUGUGGCAGAGUCUGAGGAACGCCUCAGUUCAAGAAGCCAAGCUAUUUUGGACUCUUUGGAGACUGUAGCUAGGACAUUGCAAGAGACUGCACGGGCCCAGAGCGACGCGAGGUUUGAGGCGGUACAAGAGCAAGGCAAAGCGGAGCAGGCCAUCCUUGAGAUGCAGAGGAAAUUCGAAGCUACACGAGCAGAGUUUACGGAGGUGAAGUCCAGCCUGAGGCGCCUCGAGCUCUCGCUCGCCCAGCAGACUGAGGACCGCCAGCGGCUGCGUGAGCGCCUGGGCCAGCUGCCUGUGCCCGCCGUGCUGGCGGCGCGGGGGCCCGGCGCGCUGGGGGACAGCGCUUCGCAGACGUCGCCCUCCCUGGCGCGGAGCCCGGGUCGC
rnacentral:lncRNA from 1 species